rnacentral:rRNA from 1 species
UACGUAGGGUGCGAGCGUUAAUCGGAAUUACUGGGCGUAAAGCGUGCGCAGGCGGUAAGUUAAGUCUGAUGUGAAAGCCCCGGGCUCAACCUGGGAAUUGCAUUCGAGACUGAAUAGCUAGGGUGCGGUAGAGGAAAGCGGAAUUUCCGGUGUAGCGGUGAAAUGCGUAGAUAUCGGGAGGAACACCAAUUGCGAAGGCAGCUCGCUGGGACGUUACUGACGCUGAGACGCGAAAGCGUGGGGAGCAAACAGG